AUGAUGUCUCAUGCUGAGCAUUUUACUGCCGUUAUGCUGCCGGAAUUGCCUAGGAGUUCGAGUGAUACUAACUCCUUGUCCUACAUUCUACAGUCCAUAGUUGAUGCUGAUUCCGUCCUUGGUUCGUUUCUCAGGAUGUCAUCAGCUAAGCGAAGUUCCGUCGCUCGUAGCCAGAACCAUGGAGAUGGUAGGGAUGAGGAUCCUCCCGACCAGUCUUCGUUGACAGAGCUCAUGCUAGAGAUGGAGAGGAACAAGCGUGAGUCUAAUCGUUUGUUGGCACGUAUCGAGGAGAACACCGCACAUCAGUUCAAGGGGUCUGCUACCAUUCAUGAUUUCAUUCGCUUGCACCCACCUACUUUUCAUCAUUCCAUCGAGCCACUCGAUGCAGAUGACUGGCUCCGUAGCAUCACCCAUAAGCUGCGUUCCGCGAACGUAGCUGAAGAUGACAAGGUCACUUAUGCCACAUAUCACCUAGAAGGUCCUGCUAGUCUUUGGUGGCAGAACUAUGAGGCUAUGCUUCCAGUUGGCCAGAUUCCUACCUGGAAGGAUUUCACUGAGGCUUUUCGCGAGCAUCACAUUCCCCAGGCCCUCAUUGAUCGCAAGAGAGAAGAGUUCUGUAGUUUCACCCAGAGUAAGAUGGCUGUUGAUGCUUAUAGCAGAGAAUUCGAGAACCUUGCCCGCUAUGCCACAGAAGAAGUGUCCACGGACGCCAAGAAGCAAGCUAGGUUCCGGAAGGGUCUCAACCCCAAGUUGCGUCGUGAUCUCCACCUGCAUCAUUGUGAUACAUUCCAAGCCCUUGUGAACAAGGCCAUCAAUGCAGAGACAGCUCAACUCACUUACGAGGAGUCUCGUAAGCACACCCGUGAUUUGGGAUCUUCCUCCGGUUCUAGUUCCCAGAAGCGCCGGAUUUGGGUUCCAAACUCCGCUCUUCCUUCCGGAUAUGCACCG
rnacentral:rRNA from 1 species